AUUGAACGCUGGCGGCAGGCUUAACACAUGCAAGUCGAGCGGGGGAAAGUACUUCGGUACUGACCUUAGCGGCGGACGGGUGAGUAAUACUUAGGAAUCUGCCUAUUAGUGGGGGACAACAUCUCGAAAGGGAUGCUAAUACCGCAUACGUCCUACGGGAGAAAGCAGGGGAUCUUUAUGACCUUGCGCUAAUAGAUGAGCCUAAGUCAGAUUAGGUAGUUGGUGGGGUAAAGGCUCACCAAGCCAACGAUCUGUAGCUGGUCUGAGAGGACGACCAGCCACACUGGGACUGAGACACGGCCCAGACUCCUACGGGAGGCAGCAGUGGGGAAUUUUGGACAAUGGGCGCAAGCCUGAUCCAGCAAUGCCGCGUGCAGGAAGAAGGCCUUAUGGUUGUAAAGCACUUUAAGCGAGGAGGAGGCUACUUUAGUUAAUACCUAGAGAUAGUGGACGUUACUCGCAGAAUAAGCACCGGCUAACUCUGUGCCAGCAGCCGCCGUAAGAC
rnacentral:rRNA from 1 species